rnacentral:rRNA from 1 species
UGCAAUUAAACUUUAGUGGCGAACGGGUGAGUAACGCGUAAGCAAUCUGCCCCUAAGACGAGGAUAACAGUUGGAAACGACUGCUAAGACUGGAUAGGAGACAAGAAGGCAUCUUUUUGUUUUUAAAAGACCUAGCAAUAGGUAUGCUUAGGGAGGAGCUUGCGUCACAUUAGUUAGUUGGUGGGGUAAAGGCUUACCAAGACUAUGAUGUGUAGCCGGGCUGAGAGGUUGAACGGCCACAUUGGGACUGAGACACGGCCCAAACUCCUACGGGAGGCAGCAGUAGGGAAUUUUCGGCAAUGGAGGAAACUCUGACCGAGCAACGCCGCGUGAACGAUGAAGUAUUUCGGUACGUAAAGUUCUUUUAUUAGGGAAGAAUAAAUGAUGGAAAAAUCAUUCUGACGGUACCUAAUGAAUAAGCCCCGGCUAACUAUGUGCCAGCAGCCGCGGUAAUACAUAGGGGGCAAGCGUUAUCCGGAAUUAUUGGGCGUAAAGGGUGCGUAGGCGGUUAAAUAAGUUUAUGGUCUAAGUGCAAUGCUUAACAUUGUGAUGCUAUAAAAACUGUUUAACUAGAGUAAGAUAGAGGCAAGUGGAAUUCCAUGUGUAGUGGUAAAAUGCGUAAAUAUAUGGAGGAACACCAGUAGCGAAGGCGGCUUGCUGGGUCUUUACUGACGCUGAGGCACGAAAGCGUGGGGAGCAAACAGGAUUAGAUACCCUGGUAGUCCACGCCGUAAACGAUGAGUACUAAAUGUUGGGUAAAACCAGUGUUGAAGUUAACACAUUAAGUACUCCGCCUGAGUAGUACGUACGCAAGUAUGAAACUUAAAGGAAUUGACGGGACUCCGCACAAGCGGUGGAUCAUGUUGUUUAAUUCGAAGGUACCCGAAAAACCUCACCAGGUCUUGACAUGCUUCUGCAAAGCUGUAGAAACACAGUGGAGGUUAUCAGUUGCACAGGUGGUGCAUGGUUGUCGUCAGCUCGUGUCGUGAGAUGUUGGGUUAAGUCCCGCAACGAGCGCAACCCUUAUUGUUAGUUGCCAGCACGUAAUGGUGGGGACUUUAGCAAGACUGCCAGUGAUAAAUUGGAGGAAGGUGGGGACGACGUCAAAUCAUCAUGCCCCUUAUGACCUGGGCUACAAACGUGAUACAAUGGCUGUUACAAAGGGUAGCUGAAACGCAAGUUUUUGGCGAAUCUCAAAAAAACAGUCUCAGUUCGGAUUGAAGUCUGCAACUCGACUUCAUGAAGUUGGAAUCGCUAGUAAUCGCGAAUCAGCAUGUCGCGGUGAAUACGUUCUCGGGGUUUGUACACACCGCCCGUCAAACCACGAAAGUUGGCAAUACCCAAAGCCGGUGGCUUAACUUCGCAAGAAGAGGGAACCGUCUAAGGUAGGGUCGAUGAUUGGGGUUAAGUCGUAACAAGGUAUCCCUACCGGAAGGUGGGGAUGGAUCACCUCCUUU